UGACUUGACUUGACUUGACUUUUGAAACUUGACCUCAAAUCAGGUAGGACUACCCGCUGAACUUAAGCAUAUCAAUAAGCGGAGGAAAAGAAACUAACAAGGAUUCCCCUAGUAACUGCGAGUGAACCGGGAAAAGCUCAAAUUUUGAAUCUGGUAGUCUUUUGGCUGCCCGAGUUGUAAUCUAGAGAAGCGUUUUCCGCGCUGGACCGUGUACAAGUCUCCUGGAAGGGAGCGUCAUAGAGGGUGAGAAUCCCGUCUUUGACACGGACUACCAGUGCUAUGUGAUGCGCUCUCGACGAGUCGAGUUGUUUGGGAAUGCAGCUCAAAAUGGGUGGUAAAUUCCAUCUAAAGCUAAAUACAGGCGAGAGACCGAUAGCGAACAAGUACCGUGAGGGAAAGAUGAAAAGAACUUUGGAAAGAGAGUUAAACAGUACGUGAAAUUGCUGAAAGGGAAACGCUUGAUGUCAGUCGCGUCUACUGGGGAUCAACCUUGCAAUUCGUUGUUGGGUGCAUUUCCUGGUCGACGGGUCAGCAUCAGUUUCGAUCGUCGUACAAUGGCAAAGGGAAUGUGGCACUCUUUCGGGAGUGUGUUAUAGCCUUUUGUCGUAUGCGACGAUUGGGACUGAGGAACUCGGCAUGAACGCUCGUU
rnacentral:rRNA from 1 species